CCCGAGGCUGCAGCGCCCGGCCCUGGGAUGCUACGGCGCCGUGGCCACCGCCGGCACCCGCGAGCCGGGGUCGCAGGGGCUGGGCGUGCGGGCAGGGGUCGGGGAUGGCCUGAGAGAGGCGCGACUUGGGGCCGUGGGAAGGAUGGUCUUCCCCGCAGAGUUGCGCUCGAGGACGGAAAGUUUUUGUACGCAGCCCCGCCAGCGCGUCCUUCCCUCGCCGGUCCCUGUCGCCCACGGUGAGGCGCCCCCGCGAGGAUCCCCGCCGCUUAGUGGGGAGGGGCCGAGCAGCCCCCCUCCCCGACGACCACCCCAAGCCAGGGAGGGGACCCUGGUGACCUCUCCUCCCAGCCACCUCUCCCUCCACCCUGUCUUCUUUUUCACGGUGGACCUUGGGCCGUGGAGGAUUCCUGCACCCUGCGGAUGCCUUUGGGAGCUGAGACCAGUGGGUAGAUGGAAGUGGUUCUAAAAAGCAGGCUGCUGCCCUGCAUCAAUUGGUGGAGACUGCUGUCUGAAACUUCUUCUGCCUGGAACUCCAUCCUGACAUGGACUUCAGGGCAGGGGUAACUUUCUGUGCCUGGAGGUGUAACAGUAAGAGAAGAUGACGCAGGAGGGCCUAGAGGAGACGAGGCACUGCGAGGGGUUGGAGGAAGAAAGGCUGGUGUGGGCCUCCCGGGCCACAGCCUCACCUCUGCUGAACAGUUUGAGAACCUUCUUUCCUAACACCCGGAACCCUUGUCUGCCAGCAUCUUGCAUCCCAAUUUCCCGUAACUCAGAACCCCAGAACAUCAGGAGCUUCUCACCUAAGACGGUCCUCAUUUCCAGCACACCAACUACACGUUCCUGUUGGUCAAAAUAAAUCCAAAACACAGGGUCUUCUUGCUGAGCAAGGAAUUGUCAGGAAGAUAACUGAAAAGGUAACCACUUGCUCUUCCUGUGGGCAACUGAAACUUGUAGCACAAGUCUGGGGAGGUGAGCCCUCUGGCCUUGCUCUCUUAUCUGUAUGCAAAGGUUUAUGUUAUGUUUUGGGAAAGCAUCUUUUAUCCACUUCAUUGAAUGAGCAUCUUUUCACUCCUAGACUUA